rnacentral:tRNA from 1 species
UCCCUGGCAGCUGAGCUGGUAAAGAAUCUGCCUGCAAUGCAGGAGACUUGGGUUCAAUUCCUAGGUUGGGAA